rnacentral:rRNA from 1 species
UGGUCGAUCCCGGAGAAGAGACGGGAUAAAACGGGUGGUUCAAGAGUGAAACGAAAUUAAUGGUGGACAAACGCACACAGGUAGUAAAUUGAGUCAUAUGGGAAAGCCCCGAGCUGAACGUGUGAAAUGGAGCUGAAACUGGUUGGCGAGAGUCUUGUAGAGGGGGGUAGAAUUCCAUGUGUAGCGGUGAAAUGCGUAGAGAGGUGGAGGAAUACCGGUGGCGAAGGCGGCCCCCUGGACAAAGACUGACGCUCAGGUGCGAAAGCGUGGGGAGCAAACAGGAUUAGAUACCCAGUAGUC